rnacentral:lncRNA from 1 species
GCACUAGUUCAAGUCCUUGCCCUUUGCAGUUUUUUUUGUUUUUUUAAUAGUUAACAAUUUCACGUAAUAUUUUAUUUUGAUCUCAAUUUAACUUAUUAUCACAUACUCGCAAUGCAUAAGAUUCCCCUACCAGUUUCUUUUCUAGAAUUAACAAUUCUUUUAUUAUUACCUUGUCAAUGUGUUAUUUUACCUAGUUCCUAGGUGACCUUACAUCAAACACAAAUCCAAUGCAAUAGUACUUCCUAAUGGCACCUUUAUUCUAAAGAGGUGCAAUACCACGGAUAUAUUGCAUCCAAAAAACAUGCUAACGUAUCC